GAUGAACGCUGACAGAAUGCUUAACACAUGCAAGUCUUUGGCGAAUCUGUGCUUGCACAGGCUAGCCAAGGCGGACGGGUGAGUAACGCGUAAAGAACUUGCCCUGCAGACAGGGAUAACAGACGGAAACGACUGAUAACACCUGAUACAGUUGCCGGCACGCAUGUGCCUGGCAAUGAAAAGAGAUGCUGCAGGAGAGCUUUGCGUCCUAUUAGCUUGUUGGUGAGGUGACGGCUCACCAAGGCGAUGAUAGGUAGCCGGCCUGAGCGGGUGAACGGCCACAAGGGGACUGAGAUACGGCCCUUACUCCUACGGGAGGCAGCAGUGAGGAAUAUUGGACGAUGGGGGCAACCCUGAUCCAGCAAUUCUGUGUGCACGAAGAAGGUUUUCGGAUUGUAAAGUGCUUUCAGCAGGGAAGAAGAAAGUGACGGUACCUGCAGAAGAAGCGACGGCUAACUACGUG
rnacentral:rRNA from 1 species